rnacentral:rRNA from 1 species
UGGGGAAUAUUGUGCAAUGGGCGAAAGCCUGACGCAGCGACGCCGCGUGAGGGAUGAAGGUUUUCGGAUCGUAAACCUCUGUCAGAAGGGAAGAAACCGCACUGUGCUAAUCAGCAGUGCCUUGACGGUACCUUCAAAGGAAGCACCGGCUAACUCCGUGCCAGCAGCCGCGGUAAUACGGAGGGUGCAAGCGUUAAUCGGAAUUACUGGGCGUAAAGCGCACGUAGGCUGCUUUGUAAGUCAGGGGUGAAAUCCCACGGCUCAACCGUGGAACUGCCUUUGAUACUGCUUAGCUUGAAUCCGGGAGAGGGUGGCGGAAUUCCAGGUGUAGGAGUGAAAUCCGUAGAUAUCUGGAGGAACAUCAGUGGCGAAGGCGGCCACCUGGACCGGUAUUGACGCUGAGGUGCGAAAGCGUGGGGAGCAAACAGG